GAAGGCCUUCGGGUUGUAAACCUCUUUCAGUAGGGAAGAAGUCCAUCUUUCGGGGUGGGUGACGGUACCUGCAGAAGAAGCGCCGGCUAACUACGUGCCAGCAGCCGCGGUAAUACGUAGGGCGCAAGCGUUAUCCGGAAUUAUUGGGCGUAAAGAGCUCGUAGGCGGUUUGUCGCGUCUGCCGUGAAAGUCCGGGGCUUAACUCCGGAUCUGCGGUGGGUACGGGCAGACUAGAGUGCAGUAGGGGAGACUGGAAUUCCUGGUGUAGCGGUGAAAUGCGCAGAUAUCAGGAGGAACACCGAUGGCGAAGGCAGGUCUCUGGGCUGUAACUGACGCUGAGGAGCGAAAGCAUGGGGAGCGAACAGGAUUAGAUACCCUGGUAGUCCAUGCCGUAAACGUUGGGCACUAGGUGUGGGGGACAUUCCACGUUUUCCGCGCCGUAGCUAACGCAUUAAGUGCCCCGCCUGGGGAGUACGGCCGCAAGGCUAAAACUCAAG
rnacentral:rRNA from 1 species